AGAAAAUAUGACUGUCGCAGAACUUAUUGAAGUUUAUGAAGGGUGCAUUUCAAGUUUACUAAAGACUCAAUCACGUCGUCGAUUUGCUUCUUUAAAGAGGGUUUCUCCUGCAAAUUUCUCAAAAGAGGCGCGGCAUUCCAUUUCCAAUGAAGUUUUGCAGCAGAUUAAAACACUCAAUUACCUGGAUGUGGAGCUUUUUAAGUAUGCUCAAGAAAUCUUUGCAAUGAGACAUGUGCAACUGAUGGGGAAUCUUGAUAUGAAAGAUGGAUCAGAAAGCAAACUCAACCGACCACGUGCAUUUGAGCUAUGGAAAAUUCCUUCGUUAG
rnacentral:misc_RNA from 1 species